AGCGAACGCUGGCGGCGUGCCUAACACAUGCAAGUCGAACGUGAACGGCUUCGGCCAAGUAAAGUGGCAUACGGGUGAGUAACACGUGGAUAAUCUACCUGAGAGUCUGGAAUAACCUGCCGAAAGGCGGGCUAAUACCGGAUGAUGUCUUCGGACCAAAGAUUUAUCGCCUUUAGAUGGGCCCGCGUUGGAUUAGCUAGUUGGUGGGGUAAAGGCCUACCAAGGCGACGAUCCAUAGCUGGUCUGAGAGGAUGAUCAGCCACACUGGGACUGAGACACGGCCCAGACUCCUACGGGAGGCAGCAGUGGGGAAUAUUGGACAAUGGGCGAAAGCCUGAUCCAGCAAUGCCGCGUGAGUGAUGAAGGCCUUAGGGUUGUAAAGCUCUUUUACCCGAGAUGAUAAUGACAGUAUCGGGAGAAUAAGCUCCGGCUAACUCCGUG
rnacentral:rRNA from 1 species